rnacentral:rRNA from 1 species
AUUGAACGCUGGCGGCAGGCCUAACACAUGCAAGUCGAACGAGUGGCGGACGGGUUAGUAAUGUCUGGGAAACUGCCUGAUGGAGGGGGAUAACUACUGGAAACGGUAGCUAAUACCGCAUACCAUCGGAUGUGCCCAGAUGGGAUUAGCUAGUAGGUGGGGUAAAGGCUCACCUAGGCGACGAUCCCUAGCUGGUCUGAGAGGAUGACCAGCACCAUGGGAACUGAGACACGGUCGAGACUCGUACGGGAGGCAGCAGUGGGGAAUAUUGCAAAAGGGGCGCAAGCCUGAUGCAGCCAUGCCGCGUGUAUGAAGAAGGCCUUCGGGUUGUAAAGUACUUUCAGCGGGGAGGCGUUACCCGCAGAAGAAGCACCGGCUAACUCCGUGCCAGCAGCCGCGGUAAUAC